CCCAUCAUCACUUAGGGGCAGGUGCCUGCUGAAGAGGGCUGCUGAAGGGGGCUGUGUGCUGCAUGUGUGCAUGUGCUCGAGUGGGUGUUAGGUGGAAAAAAACCAGUUAGCUCACAUAGCCACCCCACAGUUGGGCCUGGAGCAUUUGCAGGACGUGUGCAUGACUAGGAGGGAUGGAACAGACAACACAGGCCCAGGGUGGGGGCCAUACUGCAGGCAGGCAGAAAACCCUGACCUAGAGCACAGCAUGUGGUGACAGCUUCUGCUGUCCUUACUCUGUCCUGUUGGUGGCUUCAUUGGGGAAGGAUGGCUGUCUGGCACCUGUUUGUCAUGGUGGCUUUGCAGAGGUUGAGGAGGGAGGUGUGGAGAUUACAUCAGGUUCCCCCUCUUAUUCUUGAGCUCAGUGUAGACCCCGCUGGCUGUGGUACUCUUGUGUGCUGCACCCUGACCCCACCUACUGCUUGCACCAGAUGAGCUCCUGGGCUCUCAGCGUCAGAUUCAGGGUUGGUUUCCCAGGAUGCUUGCUCCUUAGCUGCUGGGAAUCCGACCUCACUGCUGUGCGUGGCACUGGGCGCUGAGUGGAUCAGACUAGCACAGUGAUGCGAUUGCUUUAAUCUGCACACCCCGCCCCCUCCAUAGCCCAGGUGCAGGGUUUGUAAGACGUCACACUCAUGAGUUACAAGGUGAGGUUUCUGAUUGGAACCCAGCAGGGUCGGGCACGGGCCUGGUCACGCUGCAGGCGCAGCUACACCUGCAGAAGCAGCGCCACGGCUGCCAGGAUCCACUUGGCCGCCUUCUCUUUGGUCUUCAGGUUAAAAGUCCAGACAUAGGUGGGUCCUCGGAUACGUGUCUUGUACACGGGGCAUUCAUAGAUGUUCUUGGUCUCCAUUCGGUCCACAGGAAUGGCCUUGAUGAAGAUGACGGGCAUGACUGGGGUCAGAUCCUUCAGCUUUGCUUCAGCAAUGACUCCGGUCUGGGUGUCCCAGCGAGCUCCUGUGGGGACAAUGGAGCUGAGGGUCUGGGUGCCCCAGGGGAGGCAGAACCCACUGUUUGGAGUGCUGACUGUGAAAAAGGGAGGCACGGUAGGGAGAGAGGCCUGGCCUCCAACCUCCCCACUCUUUUCAGAGACAGGCCAGUGACUGGGAGCCCUGAAGAGUUCAGGCCAGGUGCCAGGGCCUGAGAGUGCCAAACACAGAGGAGUGUGGACCGAGGACUCCGAAGUGACUCGCAUGCCGUAACGGUUCUGAGGCUGCAUCUUCUCAGAGCUUCAUCUCCGCCUUCUCAAUGUCAGUGGCAGAGAAAACUGACCGCAGCCUAAUUCCAGCAGUGUACCCUCCUGAUUCUUCAUGUGUAAUGUCUACUCUGUGUGUGUACAUAGGGAUAAGUUAUAUAUAUGCACCUAUAAACACUGUCUGCUGUCUCUCAUCCUAGCCAGUGGUGGUGUGUGUCCUGCGUGGCAUUGGAAUCACAAUAAACAUGGAGAAUGGU
rnacentral:lncRNA from 1 species